rnacentral:rRNA from 1 species
UGGGGAAUAUUGGACAAUGGGCGAAAGCCUGAUCCAGCCAUGCCGCGUGUGUGAAGAAGGUCUUCGGAUUGUAAAGCACUUUAAGUUGGGAGGAAGGGCAGUAAGCGAAUACCUUGCUGUUUUGACGUUACCGACAGAAUAAGCACCGGCUAACUCUGUGCCAGCAGCCGCGGUAAUACAGAGGGUGCAAGCGUUAAUCGGAAUUACUGGGCGUAAAGCGCGCGUAGGUGGUUCGUUAAGUUGAAUGUGAAAGCCCCGGGCUAAACCUGGGAACUGCAUCCAAAACUGGCGAGCUAGAGUAGGGCAGAGGGUGGUGGAAUUUCCUGUGUAGCGGUGAAAUGCGUAGAUAUAGGAAGGAACACCAGUGGAGAAGGCGACCACCUGGGCUCAUACUGACACUGAGGUGCGAAAGCGUGGGGAGCAAACAGG